CCUGAUGUUUCACCUGAGCAGAAUGGACAACCAUCUCAAGAAGUUGAAUAAGUGAGACGUGUGAUAACAGUGUACUACCACUCCAACAGCGCCUCUAGUUGCAGAGUGCCGAGCCCAGGAUCCUCACCGUCUGGCUUCCAGCCUUUGGCUAGCUCCAAGCACCACUGACUGUCUUUUGAACACCAUCUGCUCCUUUGAGCUCCAUUGGGUGAGGUUUUGCAACGGCAGAGAUGUUCCAGUGUGGCACAAAUGAAGGGAGGGAGAGAUGGUGUUAACAGGGCCCUGUGCUUCACAAGCCUCUA
ensembl:lncRNA